AGAGUUUGAUCCUGGCUCAGAACGAACGCUGGCGGCAGGCCUAACACAUGCAAGUCGAACGUGAUCUUCGGAUCGAGUGGCGCACGGGUGAGUAACGCGUGGGAAUCUGCCCUGUGGUACGGAAUAACAUCGGGAAACUGGUGCUAAUACCGUAUAUCCCCUGAGGGGGAAAGAUUUAUCGCCAUGGGAGGAGCCCGCGUAGGAUUAGCUAGUUGGUGAGGUAACGGCUCACCAAGGCGACGAUCCUUAGCUGGUCUGAGAGGAUGAUCAGCCACACUGGGACUGAGAUACGGCCCAGACUCCUACGGGAGGCAGCAGUGGGGAAUAUUGGACAAUGGGGGAAACCCUGAUCCAGCCAUGCCGCGUGUGUGAUGAAGGCCUUCGGAUUGUAAAGCACUUUCGCACGUGACGAUGAUGACGGUAACGUGAGAAGAAGCCCCGGCUAACUUCGUGCCAGCAGCCGCGGUAAUACGAAGGGGGCAAGCGUUGUUCGGAAUUACUGGGCGUAAAGGGCGCGUAGGCGGUGUACUAAGUUAGGCGUGAAAGCCCUGGGCUCAACCCGGGAAUUGCGCUUGAUACUGGUACGCUAGAAUCCAGGAGAGGUUGGUGGAAUUCCCAGUGUAGAGGUGAAAUUCGUAGAGAUUGGGAAGAACACCGGUGGCGAAAGCGGCCAACUGGACUGGUAUUGACGCUGAGCGCGAAAGCGUGGGGAGCAAACAGGAUUAGAUACCCUGGUAGUCCACGCUGUAAACGAUGUGUGCUAGCCGUUGGGGCUCUUAGAGCCUCGGUGGCGUCGCUAACGCUUUAAGCACACCGCCUGGGGAGUACGGUCGCAAGAUUAAAACUCAAAGGAAUUGACGG
rnacentral:rRNA from 1 species